rnacentral:rRNA from 1 species
GAUGAACGCUAGCGGCAGGCCUAAUACAUGCAAGUCGAGGGGCAGCGGGGUAGCAAUACUGCCGGCGACCGGCGCACGGGUGCGUAACACGUAUGCAACCUACCUUAAACUGGGAGAUAGCCCGGGGAAACUCGGAUUAAUACCCCAUAAUACAUUUGGCUCACAUGAAUUGAUCGUUAAAGAUUUAUCGGUUUAAGAUGGGCAUGCGUUCGAUUAGCUAGUUGGUAAGGUAACGGCUUACCAAGGCAACGAUCGAUAGGGGGUCUGAGAGGAUGAUCCCCCACACUGGUACUGAGAUACGGACCAGACUCCUACGGGAGGCAGCAGUAGGGAAUAUUGGUUAAUGGAGGCAACUCUGAACCAGCCAUGCCGCGUGUAGGAAGAAGGCGUUCUGCGUUGUAAACUACUUUUGAUUGGGAACAAAUGACUCUUGCGAGAGUAGCUGAGUGUACCAAUAGAAUAAGCCACGGCUAACUACGUGCCAGCCGCCGCCGUAA